rnacentral:rRNA from 1 species
AUUGAACGCUGGCGGCAGGCCUAACAAAUGCAAGUCGAAGGAGUGGCGGACGGGGGAGUAAUGUCUGGGAAACUGCCCGCUGGAGGGGGAUAACUACUGGAAACGGUAGCUAAUACCGCAUACAAGCGGGUGUGACAAGAUGGGAUGAGCUAGUAGGUGGGGUAACGGCUCACCUAGGCGACGAUCCCUAGCUGGUCUGAGAGGAUGACCAGCCCAACUGGAACGGAGACACGGUCCAGACUCCUACGUGAGGCAGCAGUGGGGAAUAUUGCACAAUGGGCGCAAGCCUGAUGCAGCCAUGCCGCGUGUAUGAAGAAGGCCUUCGGGUUGUAAAGUACUUUCAGCGAGGAGGCGUUACUCGCAGAAGAAGCAUCGGCUAACUCCGUGCCAGCAGCCGCGGUAAUUC